AUGGCGCUCAAGGGGCGGUCGUCGUUCGCGAAGCAGCCGCGGAAGUCGUGGCGCGCGAAGCUGAUGACCCUGGAGGUGACCGUACUAUCGGCGGAGAAGGUCGUCACGGGGUGGCUCUGGCGCCGCCCGCUGGAUCGCGACGCGUUCGCCGCGGUCAACACAGACUCGUCGUCCGCCCGUACCGGCUUCAACGACGAGGACGGCGACUGCAAUGGGUACCCCUACUGGGGCGAGGCCGUGCGCGUGACGGUGCCGAAGCAGUCGAGGACGAUCGACGUGGAGAUCUACCGCCAGAGGGGCGACGGCCGGCAGGAGUUCGUGGCAGCGGCGCUCGUGCCCGUCGCGGACUUCCGCGCCGGCCCGCCGGGCCACCUGCAUUGCCUCAGCUACCGGCUGUUUGACACCGGGCUCAUGAUGGAGACCCGUAACGGCAUCGUCAACAUCACCGUCAAGAGGCUCGACGGCGCGCAGGCCAGUGCGACGGCGGGCGAAGGGAAAGGCGCGAAGGCUGCGGAGGAUGCCACCAAGUUGCAUUAG
rnacentral:rRNA from 1 species